rnacentral:rRNA from 1 species
GAUGAACGCUGGCGGCGUGCCUAAUACAUGCAAGUCGAGCGAACGGACGAGGAGCUUGCUCCUCUGACGUUAGCGGCGGACGGGUGAGUAACACGUGGAUAACCUACCUAUAAGACUGGGAUAACUUCGGGAAACCGGAGCUAAUACCGGAUAAUAUAUUGAACCGCAUGGUUCAAUAGUGAAAGACGGUUUUGCUGUCACUUAUAGAUGGAUCCGCGCCGCAUUAGCUAGUUGGUAAGGUAACGGCUUACCAAGGCAACGAUGCGUAGCCGACCUGAGAGGGGGAUCGGCCACACUGGAACUGAGACACGGUCCAGACUCCUACGGGAGGCAGCAGUAGGGAAUCUUCCGCAAUGGGCGGAAGCCUGACGGAGCAACGCCGCGUGAGUGAUGAAGGUCUUCGGAUCGGAAAACUCUGUUAUUAGGGAAGAACAAAUGUGUAAGUAACUAUGCACGUCUUGACGGUACCUAAUCAGAAAGCCACGGCUAACUACGUG